ensembl:misc_RNA Metazoa_SRP Metazoan signal recognition particle RNA
GCUGGGCGUGGCAGCUCACGCCUGUAAUCCCAGCACUUUGGGAGGCCGAGGUGGGUGGAUCACCUGAGGCCAGGAGUUCGAGACCAGCCUGGCCAACAUGGUGAAACCCCAUCUCUA